AUUGAACGCUGGCGGCAGGCCUAACACAUGCAAGUCGAACGAGUGGCGGACGGGUGAGUAAUGUCUGGGAAACUGCCCGAUGGAGGGGGAUAACUACUGGCACCGGUAGCUAAUACCGCAUACCCUCGUCUCUGCACAGAUGGGAUGAGCUAGUAGGUGGGGUAACGGCUCACCUGGGCGCCGAUCCCUAGCUGGUCUGAGAGGAGGAACAGCCAAACUGGAACGGAGACAAGGUCCAGACUCCUACGGGAGGCAGCAGUGGGGAAUAUUGGACAAUGGGCGCAAGCCUGAUGCAGCCAUGCCGCGUGUAUGAAGAAGGCCUUCGGGUUGUAAAGUACUUUCAGCGAGGAGGCGUUACUCGCAGAAGAAGCACCGGCUAACUCCGUGCCAGCAGCCGCGGUAAUUC
rnacentral:rRNA from 1 species